rnacentral:misc_RNA from 1 species
CGAACAUCAGCGAAUGCCUUCCGUGAAAUCAGCUGUAAGCAGCGUGAAGUGUGCGCUUUAAGACGAUAACUACCGCGUACCCGUACAGUUACGAACAUUUCCGAUCGUGUGAACAGUGUUGAAUGAACUGGACAAAUAUUUGAAAAAUUUAAGUUCGGGAUUCAGAUGGCAGUGGCUUAACAUGUACGUCCGUAAGCCUACCGUUGAGUGUGGUAACCCCCAACACUACGCAUUGCGCGAGACGAUGUAGGACCACGAGUGCAAAAGUGUUUGAAAGAGUAAUUGUACAUCGUGUAAAUGCAGUACAAUCAAAGUGUUAAUUUGCGAAUAAAAAUGCAUUCGAUUCUUCAGACAAAACUGAAAUACUCAACAUGUGCCAACUGCAAACACACCUUCUCGUUUCGAGGAACACAUCAGUUUCGCGGAAAGACUCCGCUACUACUACAAUGUGGACACGCGAUAUGCGAGAUAUGUGUCAAGACUUGUACGACAAAGAUGUGUGGAAUUUGUGGCACAAUUUUUCAACCAAAUACCAACGAGCAAGCCAAUUUUUCACCUAACUUAUAUACCUUGGGGUUAAUUACUGCAAGUCAAUCCGCAGGAUUGAAUUGCGUUGAGCCAAAUAUUACUUUUCAGCAAUCGGCGGCGGCUCGACACAAAAAAUCUUUGAGUGAAAAUAUAGAGCAUUGUUCAGAAUGCGGACUCAAGGCAGAUUUUCGAUGUCGGCAGUGCAACGUUUUUUUCUGCAACUUGUGUUACACAAAGAUUCAUGGAAGAGCUCUGCAGAGUCAUCAGAAAGUGUCUUUGAUAGAAGAUAGUCACGACUUCUGGAAAUUAUUAUCAAAUGAGUGUCACGUCCAUCCCAAAGAAAGCGUCCAAUUUCAUUGUCAAAAAUGUAACGUAUCAGCCUGCACACACUGCCUGCUUCUCUCUCAUCGAGAUCACAGUAUAGUCACUCAGUCGGAGAAGAAUCAGGAGUUGAAACCGCAGCUUCAGGAUGUAAUCGAGAAAUUAACUGAGAUGUUGCUGCGGGUGAAACAGACUGAAAAGAAAUUGUCGAAACCUCUACCCGUCCUCGACACAUCAUACGGCAGUGAUACGGAUAGAGAAAAAGUCGAAGCCGCACUUAUCCAACAUUUUACUUACCUACACGGUGUUUUGCAAAAUAUUGAACACCGUUUGAUCAACCAGCUACAGGAGCAGCAGAAUUUUGUUGGAAGUAAUAUUGCCGCGAUAAAGGAACGACUAAAAGAACAGAAAAAUGAAAUUGAAAAUGCAUUGAAUGCAGGAACAGUAGCAUUACAAGAAAGUGAUUCUGCCGUAAAUAUGACAGCAAUUAUCGAUAAACUAGAGCAGAUUUUAGAUUUGCCUUGUCAUCUUUUUCGUAACUCUGUCCCCGGCGAGAAAUUUUCACUGCAUAUCGACGAAACCAUAACUGAAUCUCUCAAGGAACACUGCUGGGUUGAAGUCCCACCUAUUCCGAAUUAUUGCUUAUUAAAGACUGAAGAAUUGCCAGAAGACUACGAAAUAGAACCGAUUAAUCGCGAGGAAAUCACAUUACCAAAAAAGCCUGGGAUACCUACUUUGAAAUCGUCUCCGAUAAAUUUGAAUAGAAGUUUAACAGCCAUCAGUACUUCUUCACUAUUAGCAUCUGAUCCAAACAUGAACAACGGUCUUAUGGAAGGUGUUAGUGAGAAUGUUACAAUUCCGUACAUCAAGGAUCCAUCGUAUUUUUAUACUCAACCAUUGUCCCGUAGCUCAGAAUUGGUUCAACUGCACAAAGCACUCGCGAAACAAGCAGCUACUUCAGCCUUACCUACAGAAUUAGAAUUGAAUAAAUUAUAUCUGGUUCAGUACGGAAAUGAUAUGAAAUGGUAUCGGGGUCGUAUCGUAAAGCUGUAUUUGGAUAAAAAUGGUUCUCAGGUCGGUGACGUUUUUUACAUAGACUAUGGGAAUACGGAAAUUUUAGUUCCCCUUUCUAGAAUGAGAAAUAUGACGGUACAAAGUUCCCUCGUACCUGUUAUGGCCAGACUGUGCGCUCUGUACGACAUUGUCCCAAAAGAUGGUCAGUGGUCAAUAGAUGCUAACAAAGCUAUGUACGAAAUGGUCGGCGGUAAAUCGCAUACAGUCAUGCACGUGUAUAAAGUGUGCAACGGUAUUUGUCAUGUCGACAUUACAAAAAUAUCGGCAGGUGAUGGGGAUCGUCCUGUUUCGAUUCGGGAUGCUCUUAUCUUUCUGGAAUACGGCUGUUUCAUAACAAACGAAAGAUUGAAGAGAACUAAUCCCGAAUCAUUGAGGAAAUUCUUUGAAGAAGAAAUAGCGAUUGAAAAUUCUUACGACGUUUAUGCGACUUAUAUAGAGUCGCCAGAUUGUUUAUACGUACAAAAGAUCGGCGAUGGUCAGAUGCAUUUGACAAAACUGACAAACGACAUGACGAUCGAAUAUGGAAAGAUCGGAAUAAAUAAAGGGAUAAUUUAUACACCACAAAUAGGUAUGCCUUGUGCUGUGUUGUCCAAUGAUGGUAUGUGGUAUCGAGGAAGAGUCACUAACUUACUUGGAAAUCGGAAAGUGGAAGUGUUCUCUGUUGAUAUUGGAUGUAAACGUGAAUAUGAGUAUGACCAAAUCAGAAGGCUCCAUAAUCAAUUUAUGUCUCUCACUGCUUUGGCAUUCAAAAUAUCACUGAAGGACGUCGUACCUGUGAAUGACAGCGAAACAAUCUUGGAGACACAGAAAUUUAUGAUCGAAACCUUGGAAUCUCAAAUGUUAAAAAUAUUUGUAUUCUCAAAGGAAAGUGAUUGCUUUAAAGUUGCUCUUUACAUCCCAAUGGAAAAUAACGAUGUCAACUUCAACGCUAUGUUAGUUGAAAAAGGAUAUGCCAUUAGCACUGGGACUAGCUCAAAGUUUAUGAAUAUGCCAAAAACUGUGACAAAAAAGCGAAAGAAAAAAGGCAAUAAGGCUAAAAAAUACAGUCAAGUUUCUGAGAAUGUUGACGAUGAAUAUUUGGCAAAUGAUCUGGCAGAACCAGAUCCAUUUAGAAUGUGUGUAAACGUAUUACAUGUGGUAUCUCCGGAUUGCAUUUAUGUUGGUGACGUGAGCUGUACAAAAGUUAUAAAAGACAUGAUGGAAAAAUUGCAACAGUUUUAUAAUGCGUAUAAAUCUGGAGAAAGCGAAGAGUGGAAGCAAAACGACGUUUGUGUAGCUUAUUCUGCUAAGGAUAAAUUUUACCACCGUGCGAAAAUAAUCGAAAUUGCUUCACCAACAAAAGUCGUGGUGUUCUUGUAUGAUAUCGGCAUUACAGAGACAGUGGGAAUUCAAGAUUUGCAAACCUUACACCCAGACUAUGCAAAUAUACCAUCACGGGCAUUUAAAGUUAAAUUAGCUGGAAUUCUUCCCUGUGGCGGAUCAGCAACAUGGGUUUCUUCGUCUUGCCAAGUGCUAACUGAUAUUAUAAACGAAAAUCAACAUUCGCUAUUUUAUAUAUCCAAAGUGGCAGGCAUAGAAGAUGAUGCUAUAUGCGUUGUGCUUUGGGUUCGAGAAACAAGACUGGAAGGGGCAUUGGCUCCAACUAUUGUUGAAAUCAAUUCAGUCAAUCAAAUGCUGAUUAAGAAAGGCGUUGCUCUGCCAGUCAGAGGAUACAAAGAUGAGGAAGAGAAAGUAUUGGCUGUUGACUUGAGACAGCAGUUGCAACAAAAUGAUGAAAAACAACAUUUCACCGAUGUUGAAUGGGUGGCAAAAAACAGAAUGCACGGUUCCCAUUCAGAUGUAAUGAGUGAUGCAUCAGUAGCCCCUUUCUCAAUCAAUAUGUCAGAAUCUGAUACUGCAAGCAGAGAAGAAAAUGACGAAUCUGAAGAUGAAUAUCCGAUACCUCCCCCCUUUUCAGCCUGGAUACCAGCAUCUCCAAUCAUAGAUGAUAAAUUCUGUGCAUUUUCCACUUAUGUGGACCUUAACUGUACCAUAUAUCUACACUCACCAAAACAAAAUGGCUAUACAUUGGCACAUAUCGAUGCUGCGCUGCAAGCCCACUUCAAAGAUUCAAAACCGCAGGCAUGUGACAUGUUUUGGGCACCAAAUGACCUUUGUAUUGCUCAAUAUCAUGUUGACAAGAAGUGGUACAGAGCUCAAGUUCUUGAACUCUUAGAGAAUGAUGAAGUCAAGGUGGUCUUUGUAGAUUAUGGAAAUGUAGAUGAAUGCAAACUUGGUACGUUGAGAAAACGGGUCAUUAUGGAACACAUUCCAAUUCAAGCUACAAAAUGUGUGGUACACGGUCUAAUCCCAGAUACACCAGACGAUAAGUGGAGUAUAUCCAAUUUAGAUACAAUCCACGCACUGGUAGUUGACAAAAAGAACGACAUUACGAUUCUGGAUAGAAAAUCGGAUCACCUUGUUAUAUCAAUAAACCUUAGAGAAUUCCAAGGAAUAGAUUUAAUUUGUUAUUUACGAUACACUCUGCAUUUCCAAAUCCGUGAAUUGGACGUAGAUUCUCGUCACGACAGUUCGGAUGAUGCGGAUGUGAUUAUUGAAGGAAGCAUUGAAGGCUGUGAUCCCAGAAGUACUUCAGAGCCGAUGUUUCAACUGUCUACGAGUCUUGAAUCCAAAUCUCCAGAAAUGAAACCUGCAAAUUUCGAUAAAAUAAUUUCUGGUUCGCUUGACAUCUCUGGAAUACAGAACCAUAUUACCACGAAUGAUUUUAAAGAAUCAAUUACUGUAUCUUCUACUCCACAAAAUGAAGUCGAUGAUGGCGGUCAUGACGAAGAAUCUGAAGAUAAUAACGUUUGCCCUCAAAAUUAUUAUAUGUUCGAUAUUCCAAAUCAUGUAGAAAUUAUAAAUCUUGAUCCGUGCCAUAUGAUAACCGCCACUGAGUUCUGUGCACAGCUCCACCCUUCCUCCGAACUCGAGUUUCUAAAUAUGUGUCACCAAGAACUCAAACGUGUUGAAAAUGAUAUGCAAGAAGAAGCAUGUGAUCAACCAGUGCUCAAAGAAGUGCUCCGUGCUGCGCCAAGUAUGGAAGUAAUGGUAUAUGGUACCGAGCUUCUAUAACUGAAAUUGAACCUGAUACUGAACGUGUCAAAGUAAUGUACAUGGACUAUGGAGACGAGGAACACCAGUACAUUGGAAAAAUACAUUCAUUGAAGAAAGACUGGCUGGACGUACCUGUCAUGACUUAUCGAUGUAAAUUAUGGAAUAUUCAUCAAGAUCAGGAUGCGGAAAUAUCUCUAGCGGUGAUGGUUCAGAAAGUUGAACAUGUAUUUUAUAGCGGA